CAAAGGUUGACCUCGGAUCAGGUAGGAAUACCCGCUGAACUUAA
rnacentral:rRNA from 3 species